rnacentral:rRNA from 1 species
UACGAAGGGGGCUAGCGUUGCUCGGAAUCACUGGGCGUAAAGGGUGCGUAGGCGGGUCUUUAAGUCAGAGGUGAAAUCCUGGAGCUCAACUCCAGAACUGCCUUUGAUACUGAGAGUCUUGAGUAUGACAGAGGUGAGUGGAACUGCGAGUGUAGAGGUGAAAUUCGUAGAUAUUCGCAAGAACACCAGUGGCGAAGGCGGCUCACUGGGUCAUUACUGACGCUGAGGCACGAAAGCGUGGGGAGCAAACAGG